CCUACGGGCGGCAGCAGUAGGGAAUAUUGCUCAAUGGGGGAAACCCUGAAGCAGCAACGCCGCGUGUAGGAUGAAGGUUUUAGGAUUGUAAACUCCUUUUGUGAGAGAAGAUAAUGAUGGUAUCUCACGCAUAAUCACCGGCUAACUCCGUGCCAGCAGCCGCGGUCAUACGGAGGGUGCAAGCGUUACUCGGAAUCACUGGUCGUAAAGUGUGCGCAGGCGGGCUUGUGAGUCAGAUGUGAAAUCCUGUAGCUUAACUACAGAACUGCAUCUGAAACUAUGAGUCUAGAGUGUGGGAGAGGUAGGUAGAAUUCUUGGUGUAGGGGUAAAAUCCGUAGAGAUCAAGAGGAAUACUCAUUGCGAAGGCGACCUACUGGAAAAUUACUGACGCUCAUGUACGAAAGCGUGGGGAGCAAACAGGAUCAGAUACCCUUGUAGUC
rnacentral:rRNA from 1 species